rnacentral:lncRNA from 1 species
AAAAAAGCUAGGCAAAUCAUAUGGAUCAGGAUGCCUGAAAAGCAUGUAGUGUUGGAUAGAUAUUAUAGAAAGUUGUGCAGCAUUCAAACUUGAUUUUAGUAGUAUUAAUUUUUCUCCAGGGUGCAUGUUAUUAAAUGUGUAGCUUACUUUUCAUAGUACUCCAUUUUUCCCAGGUAAAAAUUGAUCUGGUCUGUAGCUUCCGUACUGGCAGAGGGACGUUGUUAUAAGAAGGUGUGCGCUGCUCUACCCAAUAGGAGUAUAAAUAUAAGUAAGUACUACCGCAUGUCAUUAAUUACUAUGCACAUCAAUAAACAUGGACACAGACCACAGUUUAUUUCGGGAUUUGAACUGAAGUAGAGUAGUUAAAUUUUGGGGGUUUGGCGCUUCCACUUGCACAAUUAAGAACAUGGGUGGGUUAUUAAUGAUCUGAUUUGUGAAAUUUGUAAAACAUAUAUAUGUUUCCUAUCUUAUGCAGUUUAUGAUGCAAGUAUGUUUUAAUCCAUACAUUAAUAUUGCAGACACGAUCACAUUGUUUUGAUCAAAGAAAGAAAGACCAAGCUAUUAGUAUAAUAAAAUUUGCAACUAUGGCCAGGGUAGCUGAUCACAUGGGACUUAAUAUUAGGACAGUGAGCUCACAUGUGGCCCUACCCCAACAGCCAAGACAGAGAACGUUGCUGAGAAGCUAUGUGCCUUCUGUGGUGGGGCUUCGCCGGAUAAGGCUAUUGUGCUACAAGUGCUUGGUUGCUAGGGUGCAUGGCUAUCUAGGUCCAUAACACUGCCAGCCCCUUUGUUUUUUAGUUGCUUAUGCAUUUCACAGUUUUUUUCCCUCUUUCCCCCUUUUUGGCUGUGUAUGUAAUGUUUACU